ACUUUCAUUAUAUAUAUAUAUCGACUUUCACUAUAUAUAUAUCAACUUUCAUUAUAUAUAUAUCAAGUUUCAUUAUAUAUAUAUAUCAACUUUCAUUAUAUAUAUAUCAAGUUUCAUUAUAUAUAUAUCGACUUUCAUUAUAUAUAUAUAUAUCAACUUUCAUUAUAUAUAUAUCAAAUCUUUUUUUCCUACCGAGCCCCGGAAGGGACAUGUCCGUAUGGCGAAGCGACAACGAAGGACACUCACCCGGACGAGAAUUUUAUUGAGUUUUAUUUUAAAAUCGGCCUGAAACACACAGACAUUCAAGCAGUGCGAUGCGCUAAGAGUCUGCCAUGCAGACCAGCGAUCCUGAUAAUGUUGUCGGCCUUGGAUGAUGAGGUCCAGUUACCAGGAGCACUAGUCUGCAGCUUACUGGUUCCGUCCUGCAGCUCCUCCACGCUGUCCUCCUCUCUACAGACCAAAUCAAGAAAAGGGAACCAGGAAGCUGCUGUGGAUCCUCUGCAGUAUCUGGAGAGGUCAGAGGAACGGUUCUUGGAACAGAUCGGAAGACACCAAGACGUGACCUCUGCCAUGCUCCAGAACAUCCAGAAGAUGAAUGAAAACCUUGGUUGCACUGAUGGGACGCAUGGUGUCGGUGCUGGAGCAACUGUCCCAGAAUUAAACUGCAUUGUUGACUAUUGGCUUUUCUAGAAAAUAAAUCUUUUUUAGUACUUCACCUGUUUUGUAUUUUACUCAUGCACUUUGGGUGAAUAAACAGAAAUUUGUGAUGAGA